GCCAAUCUCAGUUCGGAUUGGAGUCUGCAACCCGACUCCAUGAAGCUGGAUUCGCUAGUAAUCGCGCAUCAGCCACGGCGCGGUGAAUACGUUCCCGGGCCUUGUACACACCGCCCGUCAAGCCAUGGAAGCCGGGAGUGCCUGAAGUGCGUGAGCGCAAGCAGCGCCCUAAGGUAAAACCGGUGACUGGGGCUAAGUCGUAACAAGGUAUC
rnacentral:rRNA from 1 species